AUUGAACGCUGGCGGCAUGCCUUACACAUGCAAGUCGAACGGCAGCACGGGAGCAAUCCUGGUGGCGAGUGGCGAACGGGUGAGUAAUAUAUCGGAACGUGCCCAGUCGUGGGGGAUAACGUAGCGAAAGCUACGCUAAUACCGCAUACGAUCUAUGGAUGAAAGCGGGGGAUCGCAAGACCUCGCGCGAUUGGAGCGGCCGAUAUCAGAUUAGGUAGUUGGUGAGGUAAAGGCUCACCAAGCCGACGAUCUGUAGCUGGGUCUGAGAGGACGACCAGCCACACUGGGACUGAGACACGGCCCAGACUCCUACGGGAGGCAGCAGUGGGGAAUUUUGGACAAUGGGCGCAAGCCUGAUCCAGCAAUGCCGCGUGCAGGAUGAAGGCCUUCGGGUUGUAAACUGCUUUUGUACGGAACGAAACGGCGAGCUCUAAUACAGUUUGCUAAUGACGGUACCGUAAGAAUAAGCACCGGCUAACUACGUG
rnacentral:rRNA from 1 species